GGAAGUAAAAGUCCUAACAAGGUUUCCGUAGGUGAACCUGCGGAAGGAUCAUUAUUGUAUAACCGAGGUGCGAGGGCUGUCGCUGACCCGAAAGGUCGUGUACGCCCGAGUGCCCUCACACACAUCCAUCUCACCCCUAUGUGCACCACUGCGUGGGUCCCCCUUUGGCUUGUUCGGAGGGGGGCUUACGUUUUCACACAAACUUUGUAUGCAGUGUAGAAUGUAUUUUUUGUUUUUGCGAUCACGCAAUCAAUACAACUUUCAACAACGGAUCUCUUGGCUCUC
rnacentral:misc_RNA from 1 species